rnacentral:rRNA from 1 species
ACACUCCUACGGGAGGCAGCAGUAGGGAAUCUUCGGCAAUGGGGGCAACCCUGACCGAGCAACGCCGCGUGAGUGAAGAAGGUUUUCGGAUCGUAAAGCUCUGUUGUAAGUCAAGAACGAGUGUGAGAGUGGAAAGUUCACACUGUGACGGUAGCUUACCAGAAAGGGACGGCUAACUACGUGCCAGCAGCCGCGGUAAUACGUAGGUCCCGAGCGUUGUCCGGAUUUAUUGGGCGUAAAGCGAGCGCAGGCGGUUUGAUAAGUCUGAAGUUAAAGGCUGUGGCUCAACCAUAGUUCGCUUUGGAAACUGUCAAACUUGAGUGCAGAAGGGGAGAGUGGAAUUCCAUGUGUAGUGGUGAAAUGCGUAGAUAUAUGGAGGAACACCGGUGGCGAAAGCGGCUCUCUGGUCUGUAACUGACGCUGAGGCUCGAAAGCGUGGGGAGCGAACAGGAUUAGAUACCCCGGUAGUCCCAUG